CCCAGCCCCAAGCCCCCAACCUGCCCGCCGCUGCCUGCUCGUCUCCUCGUCCCUCCCGUCCCCCGUCUCGCCCUCUCCCUCUCCUUCUCCCGCCUCGCGUCGCCGCCGCCGCCGCCGCCCCGCGCGCCGCCCCUCCUCCCUCUCCCUCAGCCAUCCUCCUCCUCCGCCGCCGGUCCAUUCUCCGCCCUUCACCGCCUCCGUUGCCGGCCACCACUGCCCCCGUCCACGCCUCGCGUCGCCGCCCCCAUCCCCGUCCCCGCCCCGUCGCUAGGGUUUCGUCACGAGCGACCUCCCGCCGUGGAAGCUUCCACCUUCCUCCUCAUCCUUGUCCUCACGGCCGCGGCGUUCGCGGCGUAGGCGGCGGGGGACGGGUGCAGCGCCGGAUGCGAGCUCGCGCUGGCCUCCUCAUCCUCGAGCGCCUCCACCCCAAUACUUUCUUCGUCCUCGCCUCGUCGCGUCGCUCUGUCUUCUCCCCUCCCUGCCUCUUCGGUUGAUGUCUUCAUUUCUUCCCCUUUCGUGCGAAUGGGACCAACGGCGGAUCAAGCGAGGGCGCCGCAGAUCGACUGGCGGCACAGCUUCUCCCCAUCCUUUGGUGCUGCAUUGCUGGUAUCAUCGUCGUGUUUCCCGCUGUUGGUGCGUGUCUCACGGAGAAAGAAUGGAUUGGAGUAAAUCAGCAGCGGUGUGGAUUGUGCUCUGACCUCGGCAGGGGCGGAUACAAGAACACAGCGAUGAGAUCCGGUGCGGUUUGUGGCGGACCAAGCAUGCCGGCCGAUGGAGAUGGUUCUCUGCAUCUACGCAUUCCCCACCAACAUGCCGCCCUUCAGGUACAAAUCAAGUCUGAUAAAACACUGCCAUCCUUCUUGUGUUACAUGUUCUGUGUUACAUGGUGGCCUCCUCCUCCACCACAGCGGCGGUGUCGGCAAACAGAUUUGAGAGGUAAAAACAUCCCUUCUUGUGUUGCUUUACGGCCAUAUUUGAGAGGAGAAUGGCAUGAUGCUGCAGUUUGAUUUCACCGGCUUUCCUGCUUGCCGUAUUUGUAAUCUCAACUUUCAUUUCAAGUGAUUGUUGGGGCCAAACCUAUGGUGGCUAGUCGCUGAGGUGGUGUCAUUAAUGGAGGCAAAGAGUGGCAAGUGGUGACCAAAGCGGAAGGACCUGGUGUGUUGCGCGUGCGCCGGCCACUGGCGGUGCGAGGCCACGGCGACGGUCAUGCUGCCAUUGUCCAAGUAUGGCUGCUGACCAAUUUCUUCCCUGAAGUAGGGCAGUGACAGCAUGUAUUGACGAACGCAAUGUGCUUGCUGGCCGAAUAGACAUGAACACAUAUCACUGAGAGGGAGUGAAACAGUGUUGACGAGUAGCCUGCUUUUGGGUGAUAGAAAUAGCAUUGUAGUAGGGUGGUAAUAGCAAGAAGCCGAAAGGUAAGGAUCAGGCUAUAACGUUGGGGCAUUGGCAACUCAAUUAAAAGGUAAGUAUCUAUUGGUCACAGAGCUUGACAACUUUGAAUCUUUGAUGAUCGUAUUGUACCAUUGUUUCAGUUGUAGUGGCCAUUGUUCCUGUUAAAUGCAAGUUGAUACUAAUAAACCCAUUGAAUAGAGGCCUUCAUAUAAUUCAAUGUUUAAGAGAAACCAACCGUGGACUGGAGCUCUCAGAUUAGUUUAUUCAAGCCACUUUUUUCUAGCAUGCAAUUAUUUCGUGGCUUAUUGCAUUCCCUAUAAUUUUCAUUGACUUAGAGGAGGUUUGGGGCUUUUUAUUUUUAAUGAGGUGCAACAAUCUGUCCAUCUCACUCGUUGGUGCAAUUACAUUUUUUGCUUGAUUUUCUUCACUGCUUUAUGACGACUGAGAUAAAAACUUAUCUGUGCAGCUUCAUGUUUCUGAUGCAGGGGUAGGGUAGUUGUCUGGUUGUUCAUGUUCUGAUUUAACUCAUUAGUGUUGUGCUAAAUGGAAGGUCAAGCUGCUCUACAUGCAGGCAAGAACAGACAAGCCUGAAAAUUUUUGUGGCAAAUUCUUAGCUCAACCUGAAAUUCCGAAGCUGAAAUCUGUAUUCAGUCUUCAACUCUAUGCUCCGACGACGCUGGCGCCGGCUCACGACUUCUGGCUGCUGCGGUACACCUCCAUUCUCGGUGAUGGAAGCUUAGUGGUGUGUGAGAGAUCACUCAGUAGCAAGCAAGGAGGCCCAAGCAUGCCACUUGUCCAGCCUUUUAUCAGAGAUGAGAUGCUUCCCAGUGGGUUCUUGAUCCGACCUAGCGAUGGUGGAGGCAGCGUGAUACACAUCGUUGAUCAUAUGGACCUGGAGCCUUGGAGCGUGCCUGAAGUUGUGCGACCUCUGUAUGAAUCUUCUGCCUUGGUUGCGCAGAAGAUAUCGAUGGCGUCUUUACGCUGCCUGAGGCAGGUUGCCUACAAAGAUACCCGUUCUGUGAUCACAGGAUGGGGAAGGAAGCUUGCGGCUUUGCAUGCUCUGAGCCAAAAACUUUUCAGAGGCUUCAAUGAAGUUCUCAAUGGGCUUGCGGAUGAUGGAUGGUCCGUGAUCGAGAGCGAUGGCAUCGACGAUGUUUGCAUCUCUGUCAAUUCAUCCAAAGUGACCGGUUGCAAUGCAACAUUCAGCAGUGGACUCACUAUUGUCAGUACCGGUGUUCUUUGUGCCAAGGCAUCCAUGCUGUUGCAGGAUGUCUCUCCUCCAUCACUACUGCAAUUUUUGCGCGAACACCAGUCACAAUGGGCCGACGAUGAAACCAAACUUCUGCAAUUUACCCAUGUCUCGUCUUGGAGGAUUCAGUGGUCAGGUCAUACUUCCUUUAGCACACACUUUUGAACCUGCAGAGUUCCUGGAAGUUAUCAAGCUAGGAAACACCAGAAACUACCAAGAUACACUGGUGCACCGUGAUCUGUUCCUCUUGCAGAUGUACAAUGGAGUAGAGGAGAGCAGUGCAGGAACAUGUUCAGAGCUAAUCUUUGCACCCAUCGAUGCAUCGUUCAGUGAUGAUUCUCCGCUGCUGCCUUCCGGUUUCUACAUCAUCCCUAUCGAUUCUCCUCUCUCGAACUGCAUGCUGGAUCUUGCUUCCAUGCUCGAAGCAGCGACGCCAUGGAGCAGGAUCAGCGGCAUCAAUUGCAGCGGCUGUGCUGCUGCGGCGAGCUCCAAGGCGGUGAUGACGAUCGCAUUCCAGUUCGUGUUCGAGAGCCACCUGCAGGGCAGCGUGCCCGCCAUGGCGCAGCAGUACAUGUGCAGCAUCAUCUCAUCGGUGCAGAGGAUUGCCGUGGUGCUCUCAUCCUCCCGCCUCGUCCCUCCCGGCGUUGCCGCCGCCACGCAGCACGCGCCGGCGACUCGGUGCUGCCCAGAUGGAUUUGCCAGAGCUAUAGAUUUCAUUUUGGUGCUGAACUCAUCAAAUCUGCAGAUGCCAACAGCAGCAGUGAAUCGGUUCUGAAAGCAGUUUGGCAUCAUCCCAGUGCCAUACUCUACUGCUCUCUCAAGGUGAUGCCAGUGUUCACGUUUGCAAACCGAAGACGGAGGCGGCGCCAGGCACAAGAUGGCGGAGGAGGUGAACAAAUCUAUGAUCAUCAGGAAAAUCAAUCAAAUUUAUGUUACCUAAUCUAUCCAACAAGUGAACAAAUUGGAGGCAGCUAAGACUACAUAAGAAAUUGAAAAGCACGGCCAUACUCUUUUGACUAAGUUUCGAAGUCAGGCUUGCAAGGAUAGACUAAAGCUCUUAUAUCAGUCUUUCUUCUCUUAGCAAAUUCUCAUUGCUAGAUCUCAGAUCAUCUUGCAAACCUCUUAUAUCAUUUAUAUCAUUUUCCAUAUGCAAAUCUGUGGUUCAUCUCUAAAUUGUAAUGACUGGGUAAGCUCUCUGGACCUCCCAUGUCCUUGACAAUAACAGUAAUAUCCUUCUACUUUUCAACUUAUCUUCAUUCUCACAGGUAAGUCUUGUAAUUCAUCUUCUAUUUGUGCUAGCCUUGAUGUUAAGUCUGCAUUUAUAACGGUACUCUCUUGAGUUUCUAAACUAAUCUUAAAUUUUUUGCGUCAUGUUCUAUAAACUGUAAUUCUAUCGCUAGCAUCUUCACAUCUUCCCCAAGCUACAUCAGUGGGUUCCUUAUAUAUAUUUCACUUGCACUGAGUUAUUUGGAAGAAGGUUCUUUCUAUCAUUUUUGUACAAUUUUACUAAGGUUUGUGUUUCCAUGUUCCUCUCAUGAAUUUUCCCACUCGUUAACUAUGUCUUCUUUGAUCUUACUGAAGAAACAUUCCAGGAUAUUCAAAGAUGCGGAAUGUAUCCACAGACUAUGGGAGCCUGAGCAUUUUUGUCUUUCCAAGAAUCGACCUAUACUCUAUUGAAUAUGGCCUUUUAGUAUGGCAGCUGCUCAUCAUGGUGCUGGGUCCAUAGCAAUUCAUUUUUCAUUUUAUUCUGGCUCAUAGUAUGAACUUGAAGCGAUUUGUACCAGUAAAUUAUGACGUGCAUAGAAACAAUGUACUUAUUCUCAGACGGUGAAACUGAAGAGCUUGAGUAGAAUUACUUCACA